UGGGGAUAAACCCGGGAAACUGGGUAUAAUACCCGAUAGAUCUCGACUGCUGGAAUGCAUCGAGAUCCAAAGCUCCGGCGCUCAAGGAUGGAUCUGCGGCCUAUCAGGUAGUAGUGGGUGUAGCGUACCUACUAGCCUACGACGGGUACGGGUUGUGAGAGCAAGAGCCCGGAGAUGGAUUCUGAGACACGAAUCCAGGCCCUACGGGGUGCAGCAGGCGCGAAAACUUUACAAUGCUGGAAACAGCGAUAAGGGGACCUCGAGUGCCAGGUUACAAAUCUGGCUGUCGUGAUGCCUAAAAAGCAUUGCAUAGCAAGGGCCGGGCAAGACCGGUGCCAGCCGCCGCGGUAACACCGGCGGCUCGAGUGGUAACCGUUAUUAUUGGGUCUAAAGGGUCUGUAGCCGGCCGGAUAAGUCUCUUGGGAAAUCUGGCAGCUUAACUGUCAGGCUUUCAGGAGAUACUGUCUGGCUCGAGGCCGGGAGAGGUGAGAGGUACUUCAGGGGUAGGGGUGAAAUCUUGUAAUCCUUGAAGGACCACCAGUGGCGAAGGCGUCUCACCAGAACGGACCUGACGGCAAGGGACGAAAGCUAGGGGCACGAACCGGAUUAGAUACCCGGGUAGUCCUAGCCGUAAACGAUACUCGCUAGGUGUCGGCAACGGUGCGACCGUUGUCGGUGCCGUAGGGAAGCCGUGAAGCGAGCCACGUGGGAAGUACGGCCGCAAGGCUGAAACUUAA
rnacentral:rRNA from 1 species